CCUACGGGAGGCAGCAGUGGGGAAUAUUGGACAAUGGGCGCAAGCCUGAUCCAGCCACGCCGCGUGAGUGAUGAAGGCCUUCGGGUCGUAAAGCUCUGUGGGGAGGGACGAACCGCUGCUGGUGCAUAGCCAGCAGCAUGACGGUACCUCCUUAGCAAGCACCGGCUAACUUCGUGCCAGCAGCCGCGGUAAUACGAAGGGUGCAAACGUUGCUCGGAAUUAUUGGGCGUAAAGCGCACGUAGGCGGCUUUGCAAGUCGGAUGUGAAAUCCCUCGGCUCAACCAAGGAAGUGCAUCCGAAACUGCAGAGCUUGAGUACGAAAGAGGAUCGCGGAAUUCCCGGUGUAGAGGUGAAAUUCGUAGAUAUCGGGAGGAACACCAGUGGCGAAGGCGGCGAUCUGGGUCGAUACUGACGCUGAGGUGCGAAAGCGUGGGGAGCAA
rnacentral:rRNA from 1 species